rnacentral:rRNA from 1 species
UACGAAGGGGGCUAGCGUUGUUCGGAAUUACUGGGCGUAAAGCGCACGUAGGCGGACAUUUAAGUCAGGGGUGAAAUCCCGGAGCUCAACUCCGGAACUGCCUUUAAUACUGGGUGUCUUGAGUGUGGAAGAGGUGAGUGGAAUUCCGAGUGUAGAGGUGAAAUUCGUAGAUAUUCGGAGGAACACCAGUGGCGAAGGCGGCUCACUGGUCCAUUACUGACGCUGAGGUGCGAAAGCGUGGGGAGCAAACAGG